UACGAAGGGUGCAAGCGUUGCUCGGAAUUAUUGGGCGUAAAGGGUGAGUAGGUGGUCUGAUUUGUCUGGGGUGAAAGCCUUAAGCUUAACUUAAGAAGUGCCUUAGAAACGGUCGGACUAGAGUGCUGGAGAGGAUCGCAGAAUUCCUGGUGUAGCGGUGAAAUGCGUAGAGAUCAGGAGGAAUACCUGUGGCGAAAGCGGCGAUCUGGACAGUAACUGACACUCAAUCACGAAAGCGUGGGGAGCAAACAGG
rnacentral:rRNA from 1 species